rnacentral:rRNA from 1 species
GUGGGGAAUUUUGGACAAUGGGCGCAAGCCUGAUCCAGCAAUGCCGCGUGCAGGAAGAAGGCCUUCGGGUUGUAAACUGCUUUUGUACGGAACGAAAAGGCUCUGGUUAAUACCUGGGGCUCAUGACGGUACCGUAAGAAUAAGCACCGGCUAACUACGUGCCAGCAGCCGCGGUAAUACGUAGGGUGCAAGCGUUAAUCGGAAUUACUGGGCGUAAAGCGUGCGCAGGCGGUUUUGUAAGACAGACGUGAAAUCCCCGGGCUCAACCUGGGAAUGGCGUUUGUGACUGCAAAGCUGGAGUGCGGCAGAGGGGGAUGGAAUUCCGCGUGUAGCAGUGAAAUGCGUAGAUAUGCGGAGGAACAACGAUGGCGAAGGCAAUCCCCUGGGCCUGCACUGACGCUCAUGCACGAAAGCGUGGGGAGCAAACAGGAUUAGAUACCCUGGUAGUCC